rnacentral:tmRNA from 1 species
GGGGGUGCACCGGAUUCGAUUGCCGGUGAGCGAAAGGAUAAGCAUACCGUAGACGGAGUGACUACGAUAAAACAUUCCACUUAAAUUUAAAUGCAAAUAAUAAUGCAAACUACGCUCUUGCAGCGUAACUUCGUUUAUUAACGAAACGUCGCGCCUAAUUUAUCCGUCGGUUGGGGUCGCGGCGUCAUCAAGACGGAACACUCUUUUUAAAAUCGGGAAGUGUUUUUGAAAGAGUAUUUAGCUUCCUGCGUAGUGCGACGCGUGUUUAUCCGCCGCGCGCUAUUAAGAAAUAAUAGAUGAACUAAGUAUGUAGAAAGUUUUUUGGCAGCCGCGUAAGAUGUGAGUUCGACUCUCACCACCUCCACCA